rnacentral:lncRNA from 1 species
GAAAAGGGGCGCCCUCUAUAGGAUGGGCCUCUGGCUAACUCAGUUUGACUGCUAGAGCUACUAGAAUCAUCAGUUAGACAGAAAAGGAAGUAAAGACAGUCACAAUAAAGGUAGAAGUCUAGAGUCUGCAGCAAAAGGCACCGGCUGCUGAAAGGACAGCAAGAUAACCAGGCAUUCUUCUCAUUGUAAUUGAGCACAUCCCUGGAUACCAUCCUAGAAUUCAUCUGCAAGGAGCAACUUGACUAGCUAAUCUGGGUUUCUCAUUUCUGGAAGACUUUUUACCCACAUUGGGACUCAUACUUGUGUAACUGGAAAUGGAAAUGAGAUCUUCUGAAUGUGGACUGCAAAGGAGAGGGUAUGUCUCACCAGUCAUGGGUUAUAUUACCUUUGUGUCAGAGCUAAGGUGACAAGCCAAGCACAGGAGAUGCACCAAAUGGAAAAGUCCACCGAAAAUUUUUGUCUUUGAAGAGAACAGAAAAAGCAUUAAAUCUCUGUAUCUGGUACAGUCUAUAUGGGUUGUUUUAUCUGAAAGGUGAAGGAGGAAUGCUUUAAAAAAAAGGUAACUUAACUCUAGGCAAAACUUAAAUGAUUUUACUCUCUUUCUUCAUUUCUAAAGUGGGAGGCAGUCAGAUGAGACAGGGCGUGUAGUGUUCCACAAUGAUUCUGCUGCGUUUUCAGCCUCCAGGCUGAGAAGCAAGUGCAACUAAUAUUCCAAGGCACGAGUCAUUUCCCCACCAUUUUACAAAGGCUGGACUAACUCUGGCUUUCUCAAUGUAAGGUGUACACAUUAAAGAUAUAGAGAUAGUUCUUAAAAAGUUAUAAGUUCAAACAUUCCAUAGUAUGUGCAACCUAAUGAAUUACAGAAUGGGAGACACUUUCAUAGGAGCACCUGAUUCAGUGUCCGCCCACCUCUUGUUUCUAAUUAAAAAAACCCAAAGAAAUAAAAACCAAUGGCAUUGCAGUCAUGCUUUAAUUUUAUUCUAAGCUUGUGUCAUCCUCUUGAAUUGAGACUCACAGGGAACAGGGCCCAGCAAAUCCCUGGACCUCCUGGUAUUUCGUGUAAACACAGCACCUAACCUGGACUGGCUUCCAUAGAGCUAAGACAUUUUCUGUUUCGCACACAGAGCAAUAUGUUUCAAAAUGUAGUGUGGAAAUUGCUGGGGUGUAUAAAUAAGCUUUAAAAUGUAUUUUAACAAAUAUAUAAAAAAUAUAUAUACACACAUAUAUACAUA